UGGGGAAUAUUGCACAAUGGGCGCAAGCCUGAUGCAGCGACGCCGCGUGAAGGAUGAAGGUCUUCGGAUUGUAAACUUCUAUCAGCAGGGAAGAAUAAAUGACGGUACCUGACUAAGAAGCCCCGGCUAACUACGUGCCAGCAGCCGCGGUAAUACGUAGGGGGCAAGCGUUAUCCGGAAUUACUGGGUGUAAAGGGUGCGUAGGCGGCUAUGCAAGUCAGAUGUGAAAACUCAGGGCUCAACCUUGAGGCUGCAUCUGAAACUGCGUAGCUAGAGUGUGGGAGAGGAAAGUGGAAUUCCGAGUGUAGCGGUGAAAUGCGUAGAGAUUCGGAGGAACACCAGUAGCGAAGGCGGCUUUCUGGACCAUAACUGACGCUGAGGCACGAAAGCGUGGGGAGCAAACAGG
rnacentral:rRNA from 1 species